AGCAGCCGCGGUAAUUCCAGCUCCAAUAGCGUAUAUUAAAGUUGUUGCAGUUAAAAAGCUCGUAGUUGAAUUUCGGGAUCAGUACGCCGGUCGUGCCUUCGGUAUGCACUGGUGUCACUGGUUUCUCCCUUCUGAAGAACCAUCAUGCCAUUCAGUUGGUGUGGCGGGGAAUCAGGACUGUUACUUUGAAAAAUUAGAGUGUUUAAAGCAGGCUCGCGCUUGAAUACAUUAGCAUGGAAUAAUGAAAUAGGACGUUUGACCCUAUUUUGUUGGUUUCUAGGAUCGACGUAAUGAUUAAUAGGGAUAGUUGGGGGCAUUAGUAUUCAAUUGUCAGAGGUGAAAUUCUUGGAUUUAUUGAAGACUAACUACUGCGAAAGCAUUUGCCAAGGAUGUUUUCAUUAAUCAAGAACGAAAGUUAGGGGAUCGAAGACGAUCAGAUACCGUCGUAGUCUUAACCAUAAACUAUGCCGACUAGGGAUCGGAUGAUGUUAAUUUUUAAUGACUCAUUC
rnacentral:rRNA from 1 species